GUGAAUCAUCGAAUUUUUGAACGCAAAUUGCACUCCUCGGUACUCCGAGGAGUAUACAUGCUUGAGGGUCAGUUAAAAAUAUCGUGCAUAACUGAUGUUUUGGAUCUGGUAUUCCGAUUUUAUCAAACGUUUAUUUAACAUUAUUAUGGAUAUGUAUUGUGAAGCGUACUAAUUCUAUAGUAGCUAAUCAUUUAUAUUUAUUACAUUACAACUAUACGAAAGCAUUUAGUUGGUGUAUAAAAUCUGA
rnacentral:misc_RNA from 1 species